rnacentral:tRNA from 1 species
GGGGUUGUGGUUCAGUGGUAGAAUGCUUGUCUGUCAUGUGUGAGGCACUGAGUUCGAUCCUCAGCACCACA